rnacentral:miRNA from 1 species
UGUGCACAUGUAUAUAUACAUGCAUGUGUAGGUAUGUGUCAUAUACAUAUACAUACACACAUAUACAUACGUACAUACACACACACAUACACACAU